GUUAAGCUUCGGUUAAGCUUUACAAGUCUUUACUAAUGAUAUCCAGACUUCCUGGAUUUGACAGCUUGGCCUGAGGUCAUUCUGUUUGACGCCUCCCUGUUAAACUCUUGAGAGCCGCUGAUGCGGCUCUUUUUUU
rnacentral:sRNA from 1 species